CCAGGGAUGCCUUACAGCGAAGAGAUUUUGCACAUUGACCAGAGGGUCACAACUCCACAGGAAGCUUCAGUAACAGUUAUUUUUCAGAGAGGACAAAGAAUAUGUUCCAAGCCCGAGCGGUGAUGAGACGACCUACGGAGGCUAUCGGGGACGGCGCUUCCUGGCACUGCAGCGCCGUUUGAUGGCCGGGUAACUGGCAGCUUCCUCUUCCUCCGCCCUUCCUCCUUCCUCCUCCUGACGGCUGACGGCUUCCUUCUCGUGUCUGCUCAAGUUUUUCCAGAUUUUCCUGUGGUGGGAAGCAAAGCAGUGAACAAAUACACUUUGCUUGUGCUUUUGAGU